AGUGAACGCUGGCGGUAGGCCUAACACAUGCAAGUCGAACGGCAGCACAGUAAGAGCUUGCUCUUACGGGUGGCGAGUGGCGGACGGGUGAGGAAUACAUCGGAAUCUACUUUUUCGUGGGGGAUAACGUAGGGAAACUUACGCUACUACCGCAUACGACCUACGGGUGAAAGCAGGGGAUCUUCGGACCUUGCGCGAUUGAAUGAGCCGAUGUCGGAUUAGCUAGUUGGCGGGGUAAAGGCCCACCAAGGCGACGAUCCGUAGCUGGUCUGAGAGGAUGAUCAGCCACACUGGAACUGAGACACGGUCCAGACUCCUACGGGAGGCAGCAGUGGGGAAUAUUGGACAAUGGGCGCAAGCCUGAUCCAGCCAUACCGCGUGGGUGAAGAAGGCCUUCGGGUUGUAAAGCCCUGUUGUUGGGAAAGAAAAGCAGCAGGUUAAUACCCCGCUGUUCUGACGGUACCCAAAGAAUAAGCACCGGCUAACUUCGUG
rnacentral:rRNA from 1 species